rnacentral:rRNA from 1 species
GACGAACGCUGGCGGCGUGCUUAACACAUGCAAGUCGAACGGAAAGGCCCUGCUUUUGUGGGGUGCUCGAGUGGCGAACGGGUGAGUAACACGUGAGUAACCUGCCCUUGACUUUGCGAUAACUUCAGGAAACUGGGGCUAAUACCGGAUAGGAGCUCCUGCUGCAUGGUGGGGGUUGGAAAGUUUCGGCGGUUGGGGAUGGACUCGCGGCUUAUCAGCUUGUUGGUGGGGUAGUGGCUUACCAAGGCUUUGACGGGUAGCCGGCCUGAGAGGGUGACCGGCCACAUUGCGACUGAGAUACGGACCAGACUCCUACGGGAGGCAGCAGUGGGGAAUAUUGCACAAUGGGCGGAAGCCUGAUGCAGCAACGCCGCGUGCGGGAUGACGGGCUUCGGGUUGUAAACCGCUUUCGCCUGUGACGAAGCGUGAGUGACGGUAAUGGGUAAAGAAGCACCGGCUAACUACGUG